GUUAACUUUCUUUCUCUAUUCCGUUCAUCAUCAAUUCUUCACCAUCAUCAUCAAUCGCCCAAUUCAACACUUAUUCUCAGAAUCUUCAUCUUAGGCUGGCUUCCAAAUAUGAAUGAUAUUUUCUACAUUCAUGGUAGUUUGCUGAGAAGAUUUCAUCUAUUUAUCUAAUCUUCAUCGAAUUCGGCAACACCUUGAAUGUGGCAGCAUUGAUGUUCCAAUCGCAGCUUUAUGUGAGUCUCUCUUACUCUUCUUCCUUUUUUCCUCUGGCAACUUAUUAUUGUGUUGCGUGUGAGGUGUUUGAUAAUUUGACUCAAUGAAAUUUUACUCUAUUAUUUUGCAAUUGUGUGCUUAUCCAGGAAUUAGGUGGAUGAACUGUUAUUUCCGUAUUAGACGAUGCCACUGCCGUGUGAGUAUCUCCCAACAAAUUUGUUUAAAUUUCAAAAUGAUCCUUUAAAUUGAAAAUCUUCGUUCACGUAUGUGAUAUUUUGAACUCUCCACCGAUGCAAAGUGAGUCUGAAGGUAAAUAUUAUUGUCCCCCUUGUUUCCAUUAUGUCUGUAUGUUAUCUACAUCAAUAGGUAUGUACACACUGAAUAUAUAUAUACAGAAAAAUAAUUUUUGCUGCACCAACGGUAGAUAAAAGUGAAAUACUGGCUCUUGUAGGCGAUAAGAUGGAUUCUUUGAUCCUUUAUAAUCUAUGAUUAAAUGGUUGCGUUAUUGAUGAGUCAUAAUUAUGCAUUUCGCAUUGAACUUAGGAAUAAAACGAUUAAUUCUUAAAUCAAGUAGAACUUCUCUUUCAUGAAUGUUGUGUUCAAUAAUCGGUGAUUAGCUAUUUGAAAGUCAUCACUGCAUUUGUUGGUAUCAUAUGAAGUUGUCCAUGAUGGUGAUUAUGAUCUGUUCAAUUUUAGGGCUCAUUCUAUUUCUAUGCAUCCUGAUAACUUAUAUGGGCAUAUGCAGAAUUACUGAAGUGUCCACGAAAAUAGAACCAGUGCAGGAGAAAAAAUAAAGAGCUUAGCACAAAUAGGAUUUUUGAAGUUAUUUAGUGGUUGCCUUAUCGCAUUUGAAGGUUUGCAGGUUAUUUCUUUGUUUACCCUUUGAAUCUCUUUGAUAUUGCUGAAUAAUAACUGUAGUCUCUUAGAUAGAUCUACUCAAUAGAUAAAACUUGGACAAAGUAAAGUAUAUGCAAAAUCAGAACUCUACCAAAUCCACCAACUUCCAAUAGCCCCUUUUCCAUGAAACCCUUUGUAGCAAAGUAUAGAUCUUUGAACUUAAAUCUAUGAGGGCCAUAUUCAUGUUCCCAAUCUUCAAGAAUCUCAGCAAACAUCUUCCGUUUGAUAUAAUAUAUAACCCUAAAGUUAUCAUGAAUAGCGAACUAAGCAAAAUCAAAGGCAACCCAACAGUUAAAAAUUUAGACUUUUUUUUUUCUCAUCAAAUAUACUUAGCUCAGGAGCAAAUAUUCUUGGCUCAGGAAGUUCAGAGAUUUCAAGGUUUUGAGCUUGGCUAUUAACCUUAAAACUCCAACCAAGAAUAUAAUGAGAAGCUACAAUUAACCCUGUUGAAGAUGAGAAUCCAACAUACAUUCUAUUGUUGAGUAUUGGAGAAAGAUCUUUGGUCAAUGAUAACAAAGGUUGUGUUGGUUUAUCACUAAAACCAACACUAAUUGGAGCUAAAGUAACAUCAUAAUAUCCAUACCUGCAUAUCCACUGGAAAGGGAUAAAUUCCUGAAUCCAUAAUCAUCAUAAUAUCCUGCAGGAGUUGAAUUAGCUGAUUUCAAAUCAUUGAUAUCAAUACCAAUAUGGUUAUCAUUGAUUUCAUCAAACUCAAAAUUUUGAUCAGUGUCAAGCUCAAUACCAAAAACAUGGCUGCUACUGUUUCCAUUGUUGGAAUUGUUAGAGACCAAGGUAUUAAUAUUGUAGUGAAUUUGGUAGCCCUUUUGUAGGUGAAAUAACAAAAACAAUUCCAUGGCCACUAUGAGUUGGAUAUUAAGAUUUUAUAGCAAAUAAAGAAUUAGUUGAGAAAGAAGACACACUUUCACUGAGUGUUUUUGAAAACUAUAGGAUUUGGAUAGAAAGCAUUGCCAUCAAGAUAUAAAUGUGAUGAUUGGAAUCCACUUUAUUUAUAGAUAAAGCAACAUGAACACAAGUCUGAGGAACAUGAUUAUAGUUUGAGAAUGAAUCAUGCUUCUGUAGUUCUGUUCGAGUGUUCGGUGUUUAUUAUUUAUAAGAUUUUGUGCUAAGUGAAGGAAAAAUUGCAUGUCUAAUUCGGGUCCUACUAAGAAAUUUCCUAGAACCUAGCUACGAAUUAUUACUAAAAGAAACAUCACAUGGUUACUAAAAUUGCCUUAUCAUCUGGGUCCUACUAAGAAAUGUCUCAUUUAGUUUAGUGAAGAGAAUGUGUUAUACAUUUGAAUCACAAUUUUUUUUUAUUUUUUUUCCAACAGUAGUAGUGGGUGAAUGUUUUUUUAACAUUUACAUAUUAAGUGUUUGAUGCUAAAUUGAAUAUGUGAAAUUUAAUUAUCAAUGUGUUCUAAUUUCUUAGAAUAAGUAGUGUUUUUUUUUAAUCCUGAAUGUGUGGACUUGACCAGUUACUAUUGAUUAUUGAUUAUGCUUCAAAUCAAAUGAUGAAUGAAUAUGUGGUGGAAAGAUAAAAAGAUAUAUGUUGGUUUGACUCAAUUUCAUACUCACUCCGUCUCUAAAUAUAAGACUCCUCUACAAAUUACUAAAUACAUUUAUUGCUCUUUUUUUUCCAAUAUACUAUCAAUUUAUCUAAGAAUAUGAAAAUUAACUUUGAAUGCACUUUUAUAAAAAGGGUAAUUUAGAAAUAGUAACACACAUUUCAGACAAAUUUAUUACUCGAAAGACUUUUUUUAGUACCCGUGAUUUUUGUAAAGUGUUCUUCUAAAAAAGGAUGGAGGGAAAAUUUUUCUUCAUGCAAAAAUCAUGGUGAAAUUUCGAGCCACAUGUUCCAUCGGUCACAUGUGUUGGCAAAUUGCAGGGAGAUGGAGGCAAAUCACCGGGUAAUUUACUCGUGAUUGACAGCUAUAAAAUACAAUUUUAGACCUGGUUGUUUUGCAAUCUUUCUACUCUAAAGGAGUUAAGGAACUAAUAGGGUGAGGGUUGAGUGUUUUGCAUGAUAUUCUUAUGUUGGAAAACAUCAUGAGAUCUCAUUAGAGUAAAUAUCAAACUCUUUUUCUAGUUUUCUCCUUAGAUCUCAAUUUAGGUUUUAGUGACUUGAAAAAUGGAUAGAAAUUAGAGAUUGUUCUUAUUGUCUACAAGAAUGGUAAAGGUAUUCUUUACCUAGGGCUUUGGUCAAUUUACUCUCAAAUUGUUUCAAACAAACUAAUUUGGCUGAAAUUUUUUUAAUUUCAGGGAUCAUUUUAGAAGUAUGAGUAAUUUGGUUGAAAUUCUUUUAAUUUCAGGGAGAUGAAUGGAAAAUUGAAAUUUAUCACAGCAUUCGUUGGUAAAGUAUGAAGUCGUCCAUGAUAGUGAUUAUGAUGUGUUCAAUUUUAGGGCUCAUUCUAUACAUCCCGUUAACUUAAUCUUAUAUGUGCAUAUGCAGAACUACUGAAGUGUUGAAGAAAAUCGAACGAGUAAAGGAGAAAAGAUGAAGAGCUUGUUUGAGUCUUUAGAACAAAUAUAAUUUCUGAAGUUAUUUAGUGGUUGCCUUAUUGCAUUUGAGGUUUUGCAGGUUAUUUCUUAGUUUACCCUUUGAAUCUCUGUGAUAUUACUGAACAAUAAUUGUAGUCUCUCGUUUACUCAAAAUAGAUACAAACUUGGACGCAAUGAAGUAUAUACAAAAUCAAAACAAAAAAAGUUUAAUGAGAAAAUGAUUUUAUGUAACUAUUAAACCAUUUACUCAAACAUGAUUUCACUUUUUAGAUAACAAACUCUCUUUAAUCCUUUUUACCAAAAUUUAAUACAUUACAAAAUCAAAAUGCACCAAUUAAGCAUCAAUUAGACGUGUCUUUUGAAAUCAACGACCACCCGAGAGAACAGAUUCAGCAAUUAACGCUGAAGUAUAUGGCAUUCUCCUGUCCUCAACAAAUAAUUGGUACCCAAAAGUUAAACCAGAAGAAGAUAAACUAAGCGAAGAAAAAUCUGGCAAAGGUGUAUCCCUCUCCAAAUACUGUACAACUUGUCUCAUACUUGGUCUAGCCAAAGGCUCUGAAUGUGAACACAACAAGCCAAGUUUCAACACCAAUUCCACCUCUUCAGACACAUAAUUUGUUCCUAAAUGAACAUCUUUUGCCUCAAGAAUCUCACCUCUUUGCCAACAUUCAAACACAGAAUCAACUAGAAUUAGACUCUCAUUGUCUCCUACACGACCUAUAGGCCUCCUACCACAAACAACCUCAAGAAGAAAUGCACCAAAAGAAAACACAUCAGAAAAUUUAGUAGCCUUACCUCUUCUAAUAUGUUCAGGAGCAAGAUAACCAAUAGUUCCAGCCAAAUGAGUUGUGUGAGGAUCAGCACCAUGAUCAUGCAACCUUGAAAGACCAAAAUCUCCCAAUCUAGCAUUAAAUCCAGAAUCUAACAACACAUUACUAGCCUUUAUGUCUCUAUGAAUAACAACUUUCUCCCAUUCUUCAUGAAGAUAAACCACACCUGAAGCAACACCUUUGAUGAUUCUAAAUCUUUGACUCCAAUUCAACCUCACUUUUGGUUGGUUAUAUAGAUAGUUGUCUAAACUUCCAUUCGGCAUGUAAUCAUAAACCAAAAGUAACUCGCUUUUUCGCCUGCAAUAGCCAUGAAGUUGAACAAGAUUCCUGUGCCGAAGACGACCGAUACUAACAAUUUCCGACACAAAUUCCCUCAUCCCUUGUCUUGAUUCAUGAGACACCCUUUUCACAGCAACCUCAAGUUUGGAACUUUGUAUCACACCUUUGUAGACUCUACCAAAUCCACCAACUCCCAAUAGCCCCUUUUCCCUGAAACCCUUUGUGGCUGAGUAUAGAUCUUUGAACUUAAAUCUACGUGGGCCAUAUUCAUGUUCCCAAUCUUCAAGAACCUCAUCAAACUUCUUCAAUUUGACAUAAUACAUAACCCCUAAAGUUAUCAUGAAUACCAAACUUAGGAAAAUCAAUGGCAAUCCAACAGUUAAAAAUUUCGACUUUUUUUUCUCUGCAGGUAGUUUAGGAAGUUCAGAGAUUUCAAGGUUUUGAGCUUGACCAUUAACCUUAAAACUCCAACCAAGAAUAUACUGAGAAGCUACCAUUAACCCUGUUGAAGAUGAGAAUCCAACAUACAUUCUAUUGUUGAGAAUUGAAGAAAGAUCUUUGGUCAAUGAUAACAAAGGUUGUGUUGGUUUAUUACUAGCACCAACACUCAUUGGUGCUAAAGUAACAUCAAUCUUUUUCUUCACUCCAUCAUAUUCAAUCCAUACCUGCAUAGGGUAUCCACUGGAAAGGGAUAAAUCCUUGAAUUGACCAUAACCAUCAUAAUAUCCUGCAGGAGUUGAAUCAGCUGAUUUCAAAUCAUUGAUAUCAAUUCCAACAUGGUUAUCGUUGAUAUCAUCAAACUCAAAAUUUUGACGAGUGUCAAGCUCAACACCAAAAACAUGGUUGCUACUGUUUCCACUGUUGGAAUCGUUAAAGAGACCAAGGUAUUGACUUGGUAGUGAAUCUGGUAGCCCUUUUGUUGGAGAAAUAACAAAAACAAUUCCAUGGCCACCAAUAUUUGCAUAUUGAGGUAUUAUGGCAAAUAAAAAAGUAGUUGAGAAAGAAGACACGCUUUCACUGGAAGUGUUUUUGAAAACUAUUGGAUUUGGAUAGAAACCAUGUCCUUUGUCUCUUUCUGUAUCAUUGGUGAGUUUUAGUAAGCCAUUUGUAGUUAACUCAGCAAUACCAUCAAGAUAUAAAUGUGAUGAUUGGAAUCCAUUAUAUAUGAAACUGUUGUCUUCACUUGCAACCAAUGUAACAUGAAAAAACAACAUGAACACAUGUCUGAGGAACAUGAUUAUAGGUUGUGAAUAAUAAUGCUUAUACAGUUCGGUUCAUUGUUUCUUAUUUAUUAUUUUUUAUUUAUAAUAUUUUGUCCUAUUGCUAGUCUCAUUUGGGACCUACUAAUAAGUGUCCCUUUACCUAACUUAGCUACGUAUUAUCACCAAAAGAAACAUCAAAUCAAAUGGUUACUAAAAUUGCGUAUCUCAUUUGAGUCAAUUUAAGUGGUGGAAGGAUGGAUAAAGAUAAUGUUGGUUUUGACUAAAAUGACUGGGGCAGUUUUUAAAGGAGAUAAUUUUUAGGAAACUUGGAAGUUAAGAGUUGAGUUGGAAAGAUUCUUUCUUCCUCUAACAUAGGUCAUUUUGGGCCGAAUUAGGUAAACAAUUUGAAAAUCGCUCUUUAAGCUUGAAAAAUUGUUCUCUUGCACCUUAAAAUUUCAUUAAUACCCCCAACAGCAAUGAAUUAUCGUCGCUACCCAGCAGCAGUUAAUUGUCGUUCGGUCUUUUUGCAACCACAAUUGUGUUCAACUGCAGUUGCGUUCGAGACUUAUUCUAGAACAGUAACAACACGUGUUCUGGAUUUAUUUUAUAAAAGCAAAAAUAGUUAUCACUUUUGUUUGAAACACAAAACUCCAAUCUCACUCAAAUGAAUCUCAUCCAAUUUCUUUCAUCAAAAUCAAAAGUUAUCAACUAUUCUACAAGUAAGUGUUAAUAAUCUCUUCUAUUCACAUUGUUAGUUUUAUAUAAUUUUUUUUCCUUCAAAAUUUGGUGGAAAUGUUAGUGUUUAUGAUUGGAUAAAUUAUUGAUAUUUUGGGUAGUCUGUGAUCCUAUAUAUGCAUGUUUUGACUAUAAAUGUUGUUUAAACUAAAUUUAAGUUCAAUGUUGUAGUUUAAAAGUUGAAAUAACACAAUGAAUAAAUGUUGUAUAUUUUGUACUACAAGCGUUUGAUGAAAUGCUUGAAUGAGUUUUUCAUUGAUAUUUUUAUUGUCUUUUGUUGUGUAGAUAUGACUGAGAACCUACAUAUGCGUAAAGAGACCAUGACAAGCAGUUCCCGCAAGGAGAGAGUGACAGUGAACCCUACUAAAAUCUGCAUUUCCAACGAUGUACGUCACAAACUGCCAAUGCAUUUAACCAAAUUUUUAGCAUUCUUUCUAUUUAAUUAGUUUUUCUUAUACUUUGUCUAUUUGAUCUUUUUAUCAAUUUUAAUUAUUCAGAUAUAGAUUGUUUCUUUCUACAUCUGCUGCACAAUUCACAAAUCAUGAUUUUGAUGAUGUGAUCAUCAAGGUUGGCUAGGAUAAGAAGAUUUUUGCAUCUAGUAUAUAUCUUUGAAAUGGAGAUAACUUGAUUUCCUUUCCUUACAGUAUUUUUUUAUUUUUUUAAAUCAAGGAGUAACCUUUGCGCAAAUCCUUGACGAAUCCCACGGGGUAACUGAGAUCCAAUAAUCAACGAAUGAGCUAUUUUUUAUACACAUAGUCCAGGUACCCUAAAACAAAUGUUUAAGAGACUCAAAUAUCUACCACAGUACCAGUUAUGCCACAUAUAUUGGAUGUUUCUUUAGAAUGGAUGAUUUGUAUAGAAAAGCCGACUGCAAAGGAAAAUUCAAAUAAAAACUCGUGAAUUAAUAUGUUGAAGUGUGAUUUAACAAUAAAAAAUUUAUAAGCAAAGUAAAUUAAAUAAAAUGCCUAAAAAUCCAUCUAUUCCAAUCAACUAAAUACCUUUCUGCAAAUGUAAAAAUAAUUCAAAGCAGCUACGCAACGCGCAGGUCAAAAUCUAGUUAAUCACAUAAUGUCCAUGUAUUAUGUAUAUGUACACAUAAAUCAGUGUUUUAUACCAGUGCAUUGUGGCCGGUUUACAGAUUUCAGUUUGCAGAGUGUUAUAUAGCCAGUGCUGUCAAAUUUAGAGGCGCUAUAGUGCUGCCGAAUAGAAGAAUUUGACCAAAUUGCUAUUGUUCCGUAAUAAAGCCCUUUUGUACAAAAUGUUGUCAUUAAUAAUGGCUAUAGAAGCACUAUAGUACCGUACCAUAGUAGAAUUUGAACAAACCGCUAUGCUGCAACAUUCAACACUGGUUAUAUAGUCACUGGUCAGUUAUGGUAUUUCCGGCUCGUAUUGACAUUUUUUGGCACCCCCACUGGUUGUUAGCAUUUUCGACUACUCAGCCUCAACCACACACAUUCUUCUUCUUCUUAAUCCUUUGUAUACUCAUUUGUUCAUACUUCUCUUUGCAACUUGUCUUUUUCUUUAACCCUACAUUCUUGCUCUGCAGCAACUCAAUCCCCCAUUGUUCUGUUUUUCUAUACUAGGUUGUUAAUUAUGAAUGUCUGUAAUUUUGUGUAACUUUUUUUUAUUUCUUUGAAAAUUUAUUUACAUAAAGCAUAAAAUAUUUAUGUUGGAUAUAUAAUCUUUGGUAUAGAGUUAUAUCAUCAUCUACUAUCUCUCAGUAGCGUUCGUGGGAUCUAUUACAUGUAUCAAAUGACUGCAUAAUAUUUACCAUGGGCUACAUCUAUGAAUAUAAAUUAAAACUCACGUACCUACCUAUUAGGAGAAAGAGACUACAUUAAAACAUAAACACUACAUAAAACUCGUGUAUCUAUUACACUAUUAACUCAAAUAUGAUUUUACAUUUGAUUUAACAAACUCUCCUUAAUCCAUUUUACCAAAAUCUAACGACAACCAGAGAGAAUUGAGUCGGCAAUAGACACAGAAGUCUGUGACAUUGUGUUGCCCAUAGAGGAAGGAUAAGACAAAGGAAAGUCCUCAAAAAAUUCUUGGUACCCAAAAGUUAAUCCAGAAGAAGAUAAACUAAGCAAAGACAAAUCUGGCAAAGGUAUAUCCCUCUCCAAAUACUGCACAACUUGUCUCAUACAUGGUCUAGCCAAAGGUUCUGAAUGUGAACACAACAAUCCAAGUUUCAACACCAACUCCACCUCUUCAGACACAAAGUUUGUCCCCAAAUUUACAUCUUUUGCCUCAAGAAUAUCACCUCUUUUCCAACACUCAAAUACACAAUCAACCAAAAUUACACUUUCAUUUUCCCCAACAUUAGAAAUAGGCCUUCUACCACAAGCAACCUCAAGAAGAAAUGCACCAAAAGAAAACACAUCAGAAAAUUUAGUAGCCUUACCUGUUCUAAUAUGUUCCGGAGCAAGAUAACCAAUAGUUCCAGCCAAAUGAGUCGUGUGAUGAUCUGCACCAUGGUCAUACAACCUUGAAAGACCAAAAUCUCCCAAUCUAGCAUUAAAUUCAGAAUCUAACAACACAUUACUAGCUUUUAUGUCUCUAUGAAUUACAACUUUCUCCCAUUCUUCAUGAAGAUAAACCACGCCUGAAGCAACACCUUUGAUGAUUCUAAAUCUUUGACUCCAAUUCAACCUCACUUUUGGUUGGUUGUAUAAAUAUUUGUCUAAACUUCCAUUCGGCAUGUAAUCAUAAACCAAAAGUAACUCGCUUUUUCGCCUGCAAUAGCCAUGAAGUUGAACAAGAUUCCUCUGCCGAAGACGACCGAUACUAACAAUUUCCGACACAAAUUCCCUCAUCCCUUGUCUUGAUUCAUGAGACACCCUUUUCACAGCAACCUCAAGUUUGGAACUUGGUAACACACCUUUGUAGACUCUACCAAAUCCACCAACUCCCAGUAGCCCCUUUUCCCUGAAACCCUUUGUGGCAAAGUACAAAUCUUUGAACUUAAAUCUAUGUGGGCCAUAUUCUUGUUCCCAAUCUUCAAGAAUCUCAGCAAACUUCUUCCGUCUGAUAUAAUACAUAACCCCUAAAGUUAUCAUGAAUAUCAAACUUAUCAAAAUUAAAGGCAACCCAACAGUUAAAAAAUUUGAUUUCGUUUUCUCAGCUAAUACUGGUAACUCAGGAAGUUCAGAGAUUACAAGGUUUUGAGCUUGACCAUUAAUCUUAAAACUCCAACCAAGAAUAUAAUGAGAAGUUAGAAAUGAACCAGUAGCUGAUGAAAAUCCAACAUACAUACUAUUGUUAAGAAUUGGAGAAAGAUCUUUGGUCAAUGAUAACAAAGGUUGUUUUGGUUUAACAACAUUAAUUGGAGCUAAAGUAACAUCAAUCUUUUUCUUUUCACCAUCAUAUUCAAUCCAUACCUGCAUAGGAUAGCCACUGAUAAGGCUUAUAUUCUUGAAUUGACCAUUACCAUCAUAAUAUCCUGCAGGAGUUGAAUUAGCUGAUUUCAAAUCAUUGAUAUCAAUACCAACAUGGUUAUCAUUGAUAUCAUCAAACUCACGAUUUUCAAUAGUAUCAAGUUCAACACCAAAAACGUGGUUGCUAGGAUUUCCAUUGUUGGAAUCGUCAAAGAGACCAAGGUAUGAACCUUGGAGUGAAUUUGGUAGCCCUUUUGUAGGAGAAAGAACAAAAACAAUUCCAUGGCCACUAUAAGUUGGACCUUGAUGUCUUAUGGCAAAUACAAAAGUAGUUGAGAAUGAAGAAACACUUCCAUUGGAAGUGUUCUUCAAAACUAUAGGGUUUGGAUAGAAAGCAUGUGCUUUUUCUUGUUUGGUGUCAUUGGUGAGUCUUAGUAAGCCAUUGGAGGUUAAAUUAGCAAUACCAUCAAGAUACAAAUGAGAUGAUUGGAAAUCAUUAUAGAUGAAACUUUUGUCUUCACUUGGUACCAAUGUAACAAGAAAAAACAACAUAAACACAAGCCUGAGGAACAUGAUUAUAGUUUGUGAAUAAUAAUGCUUAUACAGUUCUGUUCAGUGUUUAUUAUUUAUUAUUUAUUAUGUAUAAGAUUUUGUCCUAGGUGAAGAAAAAAUUGCAAGUCUAAUUUGGGUCCUACUAAGAAAUGUCUUGGAACCUAACUUAGCUAUGAAUUAUCACCAAAAGAAACAUCAAAUGGUUACUAAAAUCGCGUAUCUCAUUUGGGUCCUACUAAGAAAUGUCUCAUUUAGUUUAGUAAAAAUGAACUCAUUUGGGACCAUUUGAAUAGUUGUGCACAUUUGAACUACCAAUUUUUUUCCCAACUGCACAUUUUCAAUGUUUACGUAUUGAGUGUUUGAUGCUAAAUUGAAUAUGUGAAAUUAAAACAUCAAUGUCGUCUAAUUUCUUCAAAUAAGCAUAGUUUUUUUUUUUAAGUUCACACUUGAAUGUGUGGAUUUGACCGAUUACUAUUGAUUAUCUAUGAUUUGCUUGGCUGCUAAGAAAAUGAUGAAUGAAUAAGUGGUGGAGGAUGCAUAAAGAUACCGUUGGUUUUGAAUCAAAAUUUCAUAUUUUUCUUCAUGGAAAAAUCGUAGGCCAAUUAAAGUCAGCCUGUUUCAUUGGUCAUAUGUGCUGGCAAGUUGCAGGGAGAUGGAGGUAAAUCACGAGGCAAUUUACUCAGGAUUGACAACUAUAAAAUUCAGUUUUUGACAUAUUUGUCGAGCAAUCUUUCUACUCUAAAUCAGAGAAUUUUUAAGGAAUUUAGAGGUUCAGAGUAACCUUAAAAAGUAACUUAAUAACAUAACUUUGUUCUCCAAAAACUUUACUGUCUUUUCAAUUUUCUGGUUCUUCUUCAUUUCUUGUCCACCACUUUAUCAUAGCUUCUGUUUUUCACAUAUGCCCACACGACCUAAAAUGAGCUUACCAUUUUUUCUACAAUGGAGCCAUCUCAACUUUUUCUCUGCUGUUUAUUUAAUUUAUUUAAUUCAGGGUUAAAAACCAUGUAAUGGACUAAUUUUAAAACCUAACUUUCUUUUUUAGGUGCUGCACUGUCUGUAAAGAGAAGUGACAUAUUGGCUCUUGCUAUAGGUAUGAUGGACUCUUUGAUCCUCUACAAUCAAUGAUUGGUUUAUUGUGUCAUUCACGGGUGAUAAUUCUGGAUGUCACAAUGAAUGUUGGGAUAAAAUGGUUUGUUUAAAUCGAGUAAAACUUCUGUUUCAUGAAUGGUGUGUUCAUCAACUGGUAACAAUUAUAGCAACUAUAGAAGAAAGGCUUAAGUGGGGUGUGGGUUUUCCUACUAUAGGUGUUUCAAUUGUUUUACAUGCACUGAGGCAUUCUUUAGAAUCAAGUGCAUUUCAGAUAUGGCUCAAUAAAUGUUAUAUUUGAUUUAGACUGAAUCACCAUUUAAGUCUAUAAAUUACAGGGGUUGAAAUUUUUAAUGUUAGUCCUUUUGGGUCGGUCAAUAUAGUCCUUGAAAUUGUCUUGAAGAUACUAAAGUGAUUGAAAAUUUUCAAUUUCAAUGAUCAUUUUAGAAUAUGUUAAUUUUAGGGGCUAGAUUGCAUGAUGUCGUGACCAAUACUAUUAUAAGACUGAAAUAGGUUAUUCGCUCUUUCGUUUUAUGUUAUUUGAUGUGUCUAUGCUAGGUGGUGCUUACCUAAAGAUUCUUGAUGGCUACAUUAGUUCAUAUGUUGUUGCUAUCUGAUGAAUGGAAAAUUUAAAUUUGUUGGUCGAGGGUUGAGUACCUCGAUUGGUUUGAGCUAAGGGUUAAGAAGUUGGAGGUCGUCUGUUCAAAUUUUGGUAAUGUCGACAUUGUCCAUGACAGUGAUUAUAAUUAUGAUGUGUUGUUCAAUUUUAAUAUUUAAGGCUCAUUCUACGCAUGCUGAUAACUUAAUCCUGCCAAGCCCUGUAUAUUAACAUUGAUUAGUUGCUCAAUAUUACAGGUGGAUAUCUAAGCUGUAUUUCGAUGAUAUUCUAGAAAAUACAGAAGCAAAUAUAUGUCUUGUUAUCGAUGCUCGUAUUUGGAGGAUUCUAUAAAUUGAGCCAUCUUCUGCUGCUAGUUCAGGUUGAAGUUGAACUAGUGAUAAAUGAUAAAAAUAAACUAAUGUUGUGCAAAAUUAGUUCAGUGUUGCUUGUAGCUAAAAUGUUAUGCUGCCAUGC
rnacentral:lncRNA from 1 species